rnacentral:lncRNA from 1 species
CUCUGUUUGCUUAUAUUGUGUGCAAUAAGUCUACUAUAUUUGGUGUACGGUGUACUUGUCGGACUGGCAAGUAUUAUCUGACCUUGAUAUCAUAUUUAAGGUUUAGUGGUCAAAGUAAAGUUUUUUGGUUUUGGUCUUUUUUUCUAAAUGCAAUAGAUCACCUAUAUUUCGUUUAUGGAAAUAUUAUAUGAUGGUCUCUCAGAUUUUA